rnacentral:lncRNA from 1 species
UGGCGAUGACAUGCAAUAUUUGGCGUGCUAGGAAUUUUCAGAUUUUUACAACAAGAUUGAACACCAUCUUGAGCACGCUUCACUGUAUGUUCCUCUUUGCAAAUGCUUGGGCCGGAGUUGCACCAGAGAAGCUCUGUUGGAACUUGGAAGCGGGGGCCAUAAGGAAGCCCGGUUGCCUUAAGCCCAACUUCCCCGGCUCUUA